GACGAACGCUGGCGGCGUGCCUAAUACAUGCAAGUAGAACGCAGUUGCGAACGGGUGAGUAACGCGUAGGUAACUGCCUCAUAGCGGGGGAUAACUAUUGGAAACGAUAGCUAAUACCGCAUACUGUGAGAUGGACCUGCGUUGUAUUAGCUAGUUGGUGAGGUAAAGGCUCACCAAGGCGACGAUACAUAGCCGAGCUGAGAGGGGGGACGGGCAAACUGGGACGGGGCAACGGGUCAGACCCCUAAGGGAGGGCGCAGGAGGGAAAUUUCGGCAAUGGAGGGAAGGCUGACCGAGCAAAGGCGCGGGAGGGAAGAAGGUUUUUGGAUUGUAAAGCUCUGUUGUUCGAGAAGCGGUAACCAACCAGAAAGGGACGGCUAACUACGUGCCAGCAGCCGCGGUAAUUC
rnacentral:rRNA from 1 species